rnacentral:rRNA from 1 species
AAUACCCGCUGAACUUAAGCAUAUCAAAUGGGGGAGGAAAGU